CAGCCGCCACGGUAAAACGAAGGGUGCAAGCGUUAAUCGGAAUUACUGGGCGUAAAGCGUGCGUAGGCGGUUUGUUAAGUCUGUUGUGAAAUCCCCGGGCUCAACCUGGGAAUGGCAAUGGAUACUGGCAAGCUAGAGUGUGUCAGAGGAUGGUGGAAUUCCCGGUGUAGCGGUGAAAUGCGUAGAGAUCGGGAGGAACAUCAGUGGCGAAGGCGGCCAUCUGGGACAACACUGACGCUGAGGCACGAAAGCGUGGGGAGCAAACAGGAUUAGAUACCCCGGUAGUCCCUGUCUCUUAUAC
rnacentral:rRNA from 1 species